UACGGAAGGCAGUAGUGGGGAAUAUUGCACAAUGGGCGAAAGCCUGAUGCAGCUAUGCCGCGUGUAUGAAGAAGGCCUUAGGGUUGUAAAGUACUUUCAUCGGGGAGGAAAAACAAAACUAAUAAUUUUAUUUCUUGACGUUACCCGAAAAAGAAGCACCGGCUAACUCCGUGCCAGCAGCCGCGGUAAUACGGAGGGUGCUAGCGUUAAUCAGAAUUACUGGGCGUAAAGAGCACGUAGGUGGUUUUUUUAAGUCAGAUGUGAAAUCCCUGGGCUUAACCUAGGAACUGCAUUUUGAAACUGAAAUACUAGAGUAUCGUAGAGGGAGGUAGAAUUCUAGGUGUAGCGGUGAAAUGCGUAGAUAUCUGGAGGAAUACCUGUGGCGAAAGCGGCCUCCUAAACGAAUACUGACACUGAGGUGCGAAAGCGUGGGGAGCAAACAGGGAUUAGAUACC
rnacentral:rRNA from 1 species